AAAAAGAUAAGCUAAAUUAAAGCUAUUGGGCCCAUAACCCAACUAUGAUUUUUAUCUCUUUUUA
rnacentral:tRNA from 1 species